CAACCCUGUGAACAUACCUAUAACGUUGCCUCGGCGGGAACAGACGGCCCCGUAACACGGGCCGCCCCCGCCAGAGGACCCCCUAACUCUGUUUCUAUAAUGUUUCUUCUGAGUAAACAAGCAAAUAAAUUAAAACUUUCAACAACGGAUCUCUUGGCUCUGGCAUCGAUGAAGAACGCAGCGAAAUGCGAUAAGUAAUGUGAAUUGCAGAAUUCAGUGAAUCAUCGAAUCUUUGAACGCACAUUGCGCCCGCCAGUAUUCUGGCGGGCAUGCCUGUUCGAGCGUCAUUACAACCCUCAGGCCCCCGGGCCUGGCGUUGGGGAUCGGCGGAAGCCCCCUGCGGGCACAACGCCGUCCCCCAAAUACAGUGGCGGUCCCGCCGCAGCUUCCAUUGCGUAGUAGCUAACACCUCGCAACUGGAGAGCGGCGCGGCCACGCCGUAAAACACCCAACUUCUGAAUGUUGACCUCGAAUCAGGUAGGAAUACCCGCUGAACUUAAGCAU
rnacentral:rRNA from 1 species